GGGGAAUAUUGCACAAUGGGCGAAAGCCUGAUGCAGCAACGCCGCGUGAGUGAUGACGGCCUUCGGGUUGUAAAGCUCUGUCUUCAGGGACGAUAAUGACGGUACCUGAGGAGGAAGCCACGGCUAACUACGUGCCAGCAGCCGCGGUAAUACGUAGGUGGCAAGCGUUGUCCGGAUUUACUGGGCGUAAAGGGAGCGUAGGCGGAUGUUUAAGUGGGAUGUGAAAUACUCGGGCUCAACUUGAGUGCUGCAUUCCAAACUGGAUAUCUAGAGUACAGGAGAGGAAAGGAGAAUUCCUAGUGUAGCGGUGAAAUGCGUAGAGAUUAGGAAGAAUACCAGUGGCGAAGGCGCCUUUCUGGACUGUAACUGACGCUGAGGCUCGAAAGCGUGGGGAGCAAAC
rnacentral:rRNA from 1 species